GAUGAACGCUGGCGGCGUGCCGAAGACAUGCAAGUCGAGCGAACGGACGAGAAGCUUGCUUCGCUGAUGUUAGCGGCGGACGGGUGAGUAGCGCGUGGAUAACCUACCUGUAAUACUGGGAUAACUUCGGGAAACCGGGGCGAAUACCGGAUAAUAUUUUUAACGGCAGUGUUCAAUAGUGAAAGACGAUCUUGCUGUCACUUAUAGAUGGAGCCGCGCUGCAUUAUCUAGUUGGUAAGGUAACGGCUUACCAAGCCAACGAUGCAUAGCCGACCUGAGAGGGUGAUCGGUCCACCUGGAACUGAGACACGGUCCACACUCCUACGGCAGGCACCCGUAGGGAAUCUUCCGCAAUGGGAGAAAGCCUGACGGCGCAACGCCGCGUGAGUGAUGAAGGUCUUCGGAUCGUAAAACUCUGUUAUUAGGGAAGAACAUAUGUGUAAGUAACUGUGCACAUCUUGACGGUACCUAAUCAGAAAGCCACGGCUAACUACGUG
rnacentral:rRNA from 1 species